CUUCGGCCAAAUGACUUUUGAACUUAGUGGCGGACGGGUGAGUAACGCGUGAGCAACCUGCCUUUCAGAGGGGGAUAACAUUUGGAAACAGAUGCUAAUACCGCAUAAGAUUACAGUACCGCAUGAUACAGUGAUCAAAGGAGCAAUCCGCUGAAAGAUGGGCUCGCGUCCGAUUAGAUAGUUGGUGAGGUAACGGCUCACCAAGUCGACGAUCGGUAGCCGGACUGAGAGGUUGAACGGCCACAUUGGGACUGAGACACGGCCCAGACUCCUACGGGAGGCAGCAGUGGGGAAUAUUGCACAAUGGGCGAAAGCCUGAUGCAGCAACGCCGCGUGAGGGAAGACGGUUUUCGGAUUGUAAACCUCUGUUUUCGGUGACGAACAAAUGACGGUAACCGAGUAGGAAGCCACGGCUAACUACGUGCCAGCAGCCGCGGUAAUACGUAGGUGGCAAGCGUUAUCCGGAAUUACUGGGUGUAAAGGGAGCGCAGGCGGGAUAGCAAGUCAGCUGUGAAAACUAUGGGCUCAACCCAUAAACUGCAGUUGAAACUGUUAUUCUUGAGUGGAGUAGAGGCAAGCGGAAUUCCGAGUGUAGCGGUGAAAUGCGUAGAUAUUCGGAGGAACACCAGUGGCGAAGGCGGCU
rnacentral:rRNA from 1 species